GUGGUACUAAGGAUUCUCAGUUUUUGUGAGGCCACGUUAGUGACGAGACUGAAAAUCUGGAGAUCCUGGUGAGCUGAAGUUGCGUGCUUCUCGUUGUAUGAUUCCGGAGCUACAGCUGAUAAUUCACUGUUACGUAUUCUGGAGUAGAGCGUCUGGAUCCGGAUUUCGAACGUGAACAGACUUAAAUCCGUUCUCCCAGGACUCCUUUGGUAAUUAUUUUUCUUUUCAGAUUCAUCGGGUUCUCCCGUCAUGAACUGUACGUAUGAAACUCAUAAAGGCGUAAUUACAUAGGACGAAGCCACUUUUGGGUUGGAAACUGCUUCCGUAUUCCCAAACAUUCUGAAGUCUUAACCUUGCUUGCAUCGAAAUGGGAGUUCGCCCCCCAAAAGUACAUUGCUUCGGAAAAAGACAAAUGCUGGGCUCGUGUUACUUAUGAAGAUGGUUAGUUCAAGGGGUAUAUCUACGUGCUGUCAAUAAAAUAUAAUUUUUCUUUCUGUUAAUUAAACAGAAUGCUUUUCCAA